GUUUGCACCAAAUCUGGCACCAAUAUUGUGAUCCCUUUGGAGUGGGAACCCAUUCAAUUGUCUUGGGGUGGGGUGAGGGCUGUGAUGAACCAGUCUAGGUCACAAACAAAGAAGGUCAAAGCUUCCAUGCUAAUUAUUAGUGGGAGAGCCCCGUGAGUAGCCACUGCACUUUUAGCCUGGGUAAGAUAGGUAGGCAAAAUAUCAAAAAAAUGGAAUGGUGGCAUAUAAAAAUGCUAACAUAAAUACAAAAAGAGUAGCCAUGAUGGUGAGGGAAUUUGAAGCCAAGUAGUAUAAAGAAUUGUGAGUCACUUCCCCUAUGCCAUUUGAUUAGUGAAUGGUUGAAGGAACCAGACAUAUAUAACCUGGAGAAGAGAAGACUUAGGAAGGAUAGGAGAGCUGUCUUCAAAUAUCUAAAGAACUAUUAUACAGAAUAGAGAUUUAAAAUAUUUUUAUAUUUUUAUACUCCUGAGUAAAGAGGUAGAUUCAAUGGAUGGAUGAUAUAGAGACAAGUUUUGGCCUAACAUAAGGAAAAACUUCCAAAGACAGCUGUACAAAAGUAGAAUGGGUUAACUUGGGAGGUCAUUAGUUUCCCAUCACUUGAGGUUUUCCUGCUGAAGCUGAGUAUAAGGAUGAUGAAGAAAGAAUUCAUGUUUCAGGUUGUUCAAAUGUUUUCUUCUGUCCUCCCUGGUGGAGAGAGUGUCUUCAAACAGAGGCUGUAUUACCAUUUGUCGAGUAUAUGAUGGCUCCAGGAGGAGAGAAAAGGGACACAUUGGGAAAUGUAGGUGAUGGAAAAAAUGAAAAAAACAUCAAUGAAAAUCUUUUUUUUUUUUAAAUAAAGCUUUUUACAACCUGA